rnacentral:sRNA from 1 species
UGAAUUAACAUAAUUUGGGCGCUCAGU